AUGCAANUCGAGCGGUAACAGGUGUAGCAAUAUCAUGCUGACAGCGCCGAACGGGUGAGUAAUGCUUUGGAAUCUUCCCAGUAGUGGGGAAUAACCAGUCGAAAGAUUGGCUAAUACCGCAUACGUCUGUAAAGGGAAAGCGGGGGCUCGUAAGACCUCGCGCUAUUGGAUGAGCCAAAGUCGGAUUAGCUAGUUGGUGGGGUAAUGGCCUACCAAGGCGACAAUCCGUAGCUGGUCUGAGAGGACGACCAGCCACACCGUAACUGAGACACGGUCCGGACUCCUACGGUAGGCAGCAGUGGGGAAUAUUGGACAAUGGGGGAAACCCUGAUCCAGCGACGCCGCGUGUGUGAAGAAGGCCUGCGGUUUGUAAAGCACUUUUAGUGUGGAUGAA
rnacentral:rRNA from 1 species